rnacentral:rRNA from 1 species
ACGCUGGCGGCACGCCUAACACAUGCAAGUCGAACGAAGUAGCAAUACUUAGUGGCAGACGGGUGAGUAACAUGUAGGUAUCUGCCCUUUGGCCUGGAAUAACACGAGGAAACUUGUGCUAAUACCGGAUAAGUCUUUACGGAGAAAGCUUUAUGCACCAUUGGAUGAGCCUGCACUUGAUUAGUUUGUUGGUAGGGUAAUGGCCUACCAAGACUGUGAUCAAUAGCUGAUUUGAGAGGAUGAUCAGCCACAUUGGGACUGAGACACGGCCCAAACUCCUACGGGAGGCAGCAGUGGGGAAUCUUGCACAAUGGAGGAAACUCUGAUGCAGCGAUGCCGCGUGAGUGAAGAAGGCCUUUGGGUUGUAAAGCUCUUUCGUCGGGGAAGAAAAUGACUGUACCCGAAUAAGAAGGUCCGGCUAACUUCGUGCCAGCAGCCGCGGUAAUACGAAGGGACCUAGCGUAGUUCGGAAUUACUGGGCUUAAAGAGUUCGUAGGUGGUUGAAAAAGUUGGUGGUGAAAUCCCAGAGCUUAACUCUGGAACUGCCAUCAAAACUUUUCAGCUAGAGUUUGAUAGAGGAAAGCAGAAUUUCUAGUGUAGAGGUGAAAUUCGUAGAUAUUAGAAAGAAUACCAAUUGCGAAGGCAGCUUUCUGGAUCAUUACUGACACUGAGGAACGAAAGCAUGGGUAGCGAAGAGGAUUAGAUACCCUCGUAGUCCAUGCCGUAAACGAUGUGUGUUAGACGUUGGAAAUUUAUUUUCAGUGUCGCAGCGAAAGCGAUAAACACACCGCCUGGGGAGUACGACCGCAAGGUUAAAACUCAAAUGAAUUGACGGGGACCCGCACAAGUAGUGGAGCAUGUGGUUUAAUUCGAAGAUACGCGCAGAACCUUACCAACACUUGACAUGUUCGUCGCGACUCUAAGAGAUUAGAGUUUUCGGUUCGGCCGGACGAAACACAGGUGCUGCAUGGCUGUCGUCAGCUCGUGUCGUGAGAUGUUGGGUUAAGUCCCGCAACGAGCGCAACCCUCACUUUUAGUUGCCAUCAUUAAGUUGGGCACUCUGAAAGAACUGCCAGUGAUAAGCUGGAGGAAGGUGGGGAUGACGUCAAGUCCUCAUGGCCCUUACGUGUUGGGCUACACACGUGCUACAAUGGUAUCUACAACAGGAAGCAAGACUGCGAAGUUAAGCAAAUCCCUAAAAGAUACCUCAGUUCGGAUUGCACUCUGCAACUCGAGUGCAUGAAGCUGGAAUUACUAGUAAUCGUGGAUCAGCGUGCCACGGUGAAUGCGUUCCCGGGUCUUGUACUCAC